rnacentral:lncRNA from 10 species
CUCCAGGUGCUCCACAUGAUGCAAGGCCUGGUCCAAGUCCCCACACCCACCUCAGACUGAAAUAACCUUUUUGUGAUCAGAAGGCUAAUUACUACUAACCGAGUGCCUACCAUGUGCCCAGCAUUAUUCUAUGUGGUGGUGAUAGUGGUCAUCAAGACAAAGACUCUGCCUGCUCUGCAACUUGCCUUCAAGAAAAAUGAGAUCAUAGAAAUAAGCAGUUCCAUCAAUGAAUCAUGCAAGAUUGUAUCCAAUAGCUCUAAACACUACAAAGAAAAUAAAAGGAACAUAAUUGAUAAUAGAGAGUGAUACUGGGAGCUAAGGCGGCUUAGAGUUGGCACACAAGUAAGGCCUCUCUGAGAUGAAUCCUAAAUGAUGAGAAUGAAUCCACUAUGUAAAGAUAAAGGGAACAACAUUCCAGGUAGACGGCCUAGAAGCACAGCACAGAAGUCAUAAGACAGAAACCGAUUUCAAGGCUAAAUCCAGGACAUUUUUUUUUUUUUUUUUUUGAGACAGAGUCUCACUCUGUUGCCCAGGCUGGAGUGCAGUGGUGCAAUCUUGGCUCGCUGAAACCUCUGCCUCCUGGGUUCAAGCAAUCCUCCUGCAUCAGCCUCCCGAAUAGCUGGGACUACAGGCACGCACCACCGCGCCCCGCUAAUUUUUGUAUUUUUAGUGAUUCGUCCACCUUGGACUCCCAAAGUGUUGGAAUUACAGGCGUAAGCCACCAUGCCCAGCCUAGAUCAAGAAAAUCGUAAGACUUUUCUAAACUUCCAAAAUUAAAUAUAUAAAAAAAAAAUCCACAUCUCUUAUUCCUAUGUAUGUAUGUAUUUAUUUAUUGCUGCAAAGUUUUUGAGAGUUUUUUCAAAGGGAAUAACCAAGAUCUUCAUAUUCCAUUGGGACUUUGCUAAUAAAAUUGGUUAUUAUUUUAAGUACAUUCCCCAUGGGAAAAGGGC